UUUGUCAAAUGGGGAGGGGAGGGCCUGUCUGGGAAUGCCAGAGGGCCUCCCAGCAGUAGGGGGUCGUCCUGGGGCAAUAUGUCUCUGUUCCAGACCAGCCCCCCAUCUUCUCCCUCCAACGGCCCCUAACCCCAGAAGUUGAUUCUGCAGCUGAAAGUAAAUGAACAGCUGAAUUCGAAAUCGGGAUGGCUUAUUUCAUACUAACUCAGGGCAUCAAAUUGGGGUGCCUCUUUGCUUGACCCUCAUCCUUCCUCCUUUGAAACUUCCUCGCUGUCUUGGUCCCUAUCAACGACCGCCCUGUAAAGACCCCUCCACCUGGUCAUUGAAGAAGCUGCCUCCUGGCUGUCAGGAAGGGUUACAGGGAAGAAGACCCCGUCUGGGAGAGGGGGCCCGGUUGUCUCCGACCUCACAGCAAAUUGGUCCGAGGCCAGGAUCCGAAGCCAGGUCUCUCCUCCUCCACUGCCUGAGCAAUUUCUCCACUGAGACCUCCAAGCAAGUCUUCCAGACUCAAGUGUCCAGCUCAAGAGUGCCCUCCAACUCAAGGGAUUUACACCCACAGAGCUUCUCCUGGCCUUGCUGAGAGCCGGACCUCGGCCACCAGAGACGCCCCUCGCACAUCUGGCCCUCUCCUCGGCCUCUCGCUCUUACCAAGGGGGAAAAACACUGAGAUCGCCACGUGAGCCCUGAGCCCAGA